rnacentral:rRNA from 1 species
UGGGGAAUAUUGGACAAUGGGGGGAACCCUGAUCCAGCGACGCCGCGUGAGUGAAGAAGUUUUUCGGUAUGUAAAGCUCUAUCAGCAGGGAAGAAAAUGACGGUACCUGACUAAGAAGCCCCGGCUAACUACGUGCCAGCAGCCGCGGUAAUACGUAGGGGGCAAGCGUUAUCCGGAUUUACUGGGUGUAAAGGGAGCGCAGACGGUUUUGCAAGUCUGAAGUGAAAGCCCGAGGCUUAACCUCGGAGUUGCUUUGGAAACUGUAUAACUAGAGUAUCGGAGAGGUAAGUGGAAUUCCUAGUGUAGCGGUGAAAUGCGUAGAUAUUAGGAGGAACACCGGUGGCGAAGGCGGCUUACUGGACGAAAACUGACGUUGAGGCGCGAAGGCGUGGGGAGCAAACAGG